GUCCAGAAAAUCGUAUAAAAAUCAAGCAAGAAAACAAAUGCGCUAACACGCAACGGGAAGGUCAAGGAAGUUGGUGAACUGAUGACAGGGAAGCCGGCGACCGAAGCCCCGGUGAACGACGGCCGUAACUAUAACGGUCCUAAGGUAGCGAAAUUCCUUGUCGGGUAAGUUCCGACCCACACGAAAGGCGUAACGAUCUGGGC
rnacentral:ncRNA from 1 species